UGCCAGCCGCCGCGGUAACACGUACUGUGCGAACGUUAUUCGGAAUCACUGGGCUUAAAGGGUGCGUAGGCGGCCAAUUAAGUAGGGUGUGAAAGCUCUCGGCUCAACCGAGGAAUUGCGCUCUAAACUGGUUGGCUUGAGUGAGAUAGGGGUGUGCGGAACUUCCGGUGGAGCGGUGAAAUGUGUUGAUAUCGGAAGGAACACCAGUAGCGAAAGCGGCACGCUGGGUCUCAACUGACGCUGAGGCACGAAAGCUAGGGUAGCGAACGGGAUUAGAUA
rnacentral:rRNA from 1 species